GCUGUGCACCACCUGCCGUAGAAGAAGAAGAAGAAGUAGCCGUAGAAAGAAGACGAAGAAGAAGAGUUCAAACGGUGUUGCUCACCUGUAGAGCCUGUUGAGACACUGACAUCAUGCUGCAGGCGAAGUCUGAGGCCUUAGAAGGUGUCUACGUACCUCACAGCGCCUCAGUCUCCUGUCACACACACUCCAGUGCAGCAGAACGUUCUGGUGCGGGACGAGGUCCUGAUGUCUGCUAUCUCAGCGUUCAUAUCCAUGGACACGCCCGUCUUCCACUCAGGGCAAUCUGAGCAUGCCCAGUGCAGCACUGUACCUGCAGCCCCACCCACAGGCCUCCCGGCUGGUGGCACAGGUCCACUUCUUUUCUUCAUAAUCCUUCAGGAACAUUAGCUCAGUGGUGCAGGUGUAUCGCACGCUGCCCCCGAUGUCUGGAGACGGAAAUGCAGAUGUCCACACACUCAACCUCCAACCUGUUCAGCAGAAAUAGAGGUUCAUCAUGGCUGGAGACAGAAAUGCAGAUGUCCGCACACCUGUUCAGAGUCCGAGCGCAGUGUUCCGCAGCUCCCCUGUUUACAGCCCUGCAAAACCAGCAGCGAAAGCCAAGAGCUGCAUCAACACUCGGGCUCUGAGUGAGCUCAGCGCAUACAAGCUUAUCAACCACAAAAAAGACCAGAAACUGCAGGAAAGGACACAAAGGUACUAGAGACGAGUUCUAACACCAGUUCUUUUUAUUUUAAAGGUGCAGUUUGUCUAUAGCCCGCUGUAGUUUGAGGUUAAAUACAAAUACCUGUUUCUCCAAAACCAUAAGUCUUAUCAAGCUGAAGUUUGGUGUACUCCAUCAGUUUGCUAAUCUGUAAGUAGAGUCCUAAUGACAACUGGGUUACUGGGGGCACUGCAUACUGAAGGUGCUUGGACCCCACAGAUCGUGGCUGUAUAUAUUCAUUUUUGAAAACUGUAGUUAUUAGUUUUUUUAUAUUAGUUUUUUUUUAUUUUUAUUUUUUUUUAUCAUUAUCAUUUUAUUAGUAUAAUUGGUUAAUAGCAAUUAUUUGUAUUAUUUGGAGUUUUUUUUAGUGAUUAUUUUAAUUCUAGGUUUUGGUUUUACAUUUUUUUUCACUCAUACAACUUGAAUUCUAUUAGUUUUAGUUAUAUUGUUCAUUUUUAUUUAUCUGUGAUUUCUAAAGAUUAUAUUAAUUUUUCACUUCGACUCGUGCAGACUGUGAAUUUUGAAUCAUGAGACUGUGUGUGUCACUAAGUUAGCUUAUUUAAAAAAUAUCUUAUUUUGUAGGUAAUGCAAGAAAUGGUCAGGGGCCAUAAAACUACUUUUAGAAUUAUUUUACAUAGCUGGAGCAAUUCAUCAUGGACAAAAACCUCAAAACUUUAUAUAUAAACUUUAUUUUUUUCUGUACCAGGAUUGAAGGGUAGUAAUCUGAAUAUAAACAUAAUUUUUUUUUAAAUUCUCAUAUUCUGUUAGUUCUUAAGUUUUUAUUUAACACAAAAUAAACAUUUACACACUUGUGCAGUUGUAACACAGCUCCCAUUAUACCAGUUUACACUGUCAGCAGGUGACUGUUUAAUUAAAGCAUGUAUUUAUUACACUGCAUAGCAGAUAUACACAAAAAGGAAAAAAAAAAUUCAAGUAAUAGUACAUUUCUGUACAUACAGUAUCUUUGUACAAAUUUCCACUUUCUUUUAUUGGUCAUUAACAUUAACGUUCUAUAUCGGCUUCCUCUCUUCUGUUGAGCUUAAACAUCUCUGCCAUGACUGAAUCCUCCUGAACAUUUACCAUUUUACUCUAGUACCAUUGGUGAUUCCACAAGAAACAUUUCACCAUGUCAGCUCCUGAAUAUUCACAUAAAAGCGUUUCACUUCCAGACCUGUAACUUGCCACCCGUCUGUAUAUUCAGUUGCAUUCUGUACAUCAACAACAACGCAUGUUGUAUAAUACACAAGACUCGCAAUGUUGACAUCAGACUAGACAUGUUGAAUUUCGUGUGUCGUUCCUCUCCUUGGCUUUGACUGAGCUGAUGGACUUGCUGGAAGAAUGUGACCUUGUCUUGAUGUCAAAAAUCACGAUGAAACAUGCAAAAAUGAUCACGCCAGCCGAGAAGACUAAUCGUAAAACAUUUCUCUCCCACUGUGGAUCUGGAAGAACAUCAAGUGAUCUCAGUGGAAUUUUAUUCGGAAUUACUUUAGUUAUUCAUUUGAUUAAAGAAGUAAAAGCCAUGCUUACCAUAUGUUUCACUGACCAUGACUUCAUAGCUUAGAUCUAUAAUAAUAAAUAUAUGUGCACAUAAUAAAAUAAAUACAUGUGAUAAAAAUAUAAGUUAGUACAUGUAACAUAAUUUCAAAAUUAAAGCAAAUUGUCCUUUGCACAUUCUCAGUGAAGUGUUAUAAAAUUUGCACUUAUUACCCUACUGAUUGUUAAAUAAAUGCCCUUUUUUUAAUAGAAAAUGUGGGAAUUACCAUAGAAUUCCAUUGUUUAUUAUUAAAUGUAAUAGUUAAAUUACUGUCAACCUUAUUAAUGACAAAUUAUAACUUUACAUACAAUUAUAUUACUACAUUUAGCCAAGAUUCUGAUUAAGACAAAAACUCUUACCAGUGACUUGGACAUGGAUUGAGUUAAUUCCCGAUCCUGUGAUGUUCUUGGUAAGAUAUUUUGUAAAUGAGUACACGCAGCUGUAUGUGCCAGAGUCCCGUAAUGAAAUAUUCCUCAACGUGAAGGUGUGCUCAUCUUUAUUUCCAAGUAGUUCUAAUUUUUCUCCAACACCAUUUUUACACAAAUACAUGUAAACUUGUGUGUUUGAGCUCUGAAUGUUACAGAUAACUCUGCACUUUAAUGCUAAAUUUUCACCAACUUUUGCUGUGGAGGAUCCAAAAAUUUGUGCUGGAAAAAUCUUCAAAGAAUCACCUAUUGACCAAAAAUAGUAAAACAGUAAAAUAGUAUUUUAUCAGUUAGGACUAAUAUUUUUAAAAGUAUGAUGCAUGUUUAUGUAGUAAUUUCUGGAGAAAAAAAAAAGUACCUUCUGAUGGAGAUAUCAACAUGGUUAAUAUCAGACGUAUUUCCAGAAAGGGGGAAAAUAAACAGAAAGAAGCAAGUCGUGUAAUUAAUUUGAUGCAAAUUGGUUUCUUAAAAAUGCUAUUUUUGCUAAUUUUCUAUUUUUGCUAUUAAUGCUUAUUUUUUAUGCUUAUUGCUAAAAUUUAAUAUCAGUUUCCAGAAAGUAAAAAUAUUUCUUACCAGUGACUUGGACAUGGAUUGAGUUAAUUCCUGAUCCUGUGAUGUUCUUGAUAAGAUAUUUUGUAAAUGAGUACACGCAGCUGUAUGUGCCAGAGUCCCGUAAUGAAAUAUUCCUCAACGUGAAGGUGUGCUCAUCUUUAUUUCCAAGUAGUUUUAAUCUCUCUCCAACACCAUUUUUACACAAAUACAUGUGAACUUCUGUAUUUGAGCUCUGAAUGUUAGAGAUGCUGCAUCUUAAUGCUAAAUUUUCCCCAACUUUUGCCGUGCAGGGUCCAAAAAUUUGUGCUGGAAAAAUCUCCAAAGAAUCACCUAUUGACCAAAAAUCAAUAAAAUGUGAUAGUGUCAGUUAAGAACAGUAUUUUUUUUAAAUGAAAACACAGUAUGUGCAUUUUGUAAUUUCUGAGAAAAAGUAAUAAAGUACCUUCUGAUGGAGAUGUCAACAAGGUUAACAUUGAAGAAAUGUCUUGAAAGAAAGAAAGUCACAAAGAAAGAAGUCAUGGAGUAAUAUUCAUGCAAAUUGAUUUCCUUAAAAAAACAUUAGUGAAGCCUAACUAAAAAUGUUUACACUUAAUGCUUUACAUUUUAUAUUAAUUUCCCCAUAAAAAAUAAAAUAUGUAGAUGAAUUCAGGUUACUUACAGAUUAUAAUGCACAACAUGUCCAUCGUUGAUCAAAAGCCUUACAUGUAUUUCACGUUAGUGUGUACUACUGUACACUUUCUAUAAAAGUUCAGUCACCGCACUGAAACCAGCCCAACUCUUCUUAUUGGACGAUGGCAGGAUGACGCUCUAAACCUUACUCAUUUUAUUAUCGCUAUAAUACUUUGCCUUCUUUGUAGAUUUAACAUUGUCUCAUGCAAUCUUUUUGACACUUGCAUGUGAGUUAAUGAUCCUGAACAUUAGAUUGUGUUUAAAGGUUUAGAGGAUAUGAGGCAGUUAGCUCCAUAAAUAAUAAAAUAAUAAAAUACAGGUUCUUAUUCUGUUAUGUGUUUCAUAUUGCUAAAAAAAAUUAAUAUUUUAGCACAGAUUAAGUUUGACACAAGUUAGAAGUGUGACUCAAUGCAUGAAUCUGUAUCUUUUUAGUGCUUCAAAUAUUCAUAUCUGCAUUUGGAUUUAAACCUGAAGUAGGCACGGCCAAAUCCAGAACCAGAGAUCUGCAUGGUGUGUGAAUUCUGGUUCUGACAGAUCCUCAACCUCAGCCUCAUCGCUCCAGUUCAUCAUUAGUCUUCACAACUAAACAGAGAUGACUGUGUUUUUUUUGUUUUUUUUUUUAAAUCUUGCUUGUUAUUUUAGGUUUGUACCUGCCGCCAAUAAUUCAUUGAAUUUAGUUGGCUCUAUUUCCAAAAAACAGAAAAAACUAGUAGCCUAAUUUAAACCACUGUAGCCUGAUUUAAACCGCCUGACCAGGCAGUUACUAAGGAUGAGUGAAUGACCGCUGUAACUGCGCUACACAUUCACUUCAAUGCUCAUGGUCUUUCUUUGUGCCACAAGCUUCUUAUCUGGCCACUUGGCCACAUGAAAGUUAAAACCUCUCGUUGCACAAAAAAAAAAAAAAAAAAAAAAAAAAAAACAGUCGUGCACCUCAUAUUCUCCUGUGUAUGUGAUUAAGUAAGGGAUAACACUUGACAGCCCGCGCUAAUGAACACCAGAUUCAUGCAUUCGACUGUGCUGUGGUAUAAAUCACAUGUUUUUAAAUUCUGUUACAUCCCUAUCACAAAUAUAAUUAUUACAAAAUGGAAGAAAUUAGCACAUUACAGCACAAUUCAGUCUGUUUUAUUUUAAUCCAAACUGAAGAUAUCUAACAGAAAUUCUUUGUAAAUAUCUCUUUUACAGGAAAACAACAGUACUUGACUGUAAUGUUAAAACUGGCAGGUUCUUGAUAAGUUUCUUCCAUUUACAGGUUCAUUAUAAACGCUAUAUUUAUAACUCUGCAUGGAUCUGGUUAGAUGGUUUGUUUAAAACCAGGCUGGGAAAAUCUAGCUGAGCCUUUAUUCCAGAACAUUUUAGGUUCAGGAAGUAGGACUAUUAAAUAAAAAUAAAACAAAAUCGAAGCUCCGGCAUCAAUUUUUAUUAUACAAGAGUCAGCAUUUUGCAAAAUAAUACAUACAUCACAAUGAUCAUGAUCAAAAUCUCAUAUGCAAUGCGUAGGUUAAAAGUUUAUCAAUGUAUGAAAUGUAUAGUAAAUGAAGCAGAAUUUACAAUUUAUUAUAAUCUGUAUGUAUUGUCCAGUCUUUACAUAGUGCACAUUGUAUUGGUAGGUGCUGCAAAAAACAAACAAACAAGUUUUUAAUAGUUGAUCCAUUGAUGCAAAUUUAUCUGCUAACUUUGUCUCAUUUUGUUGUUCAUGAUUAUUUUCCACAUUUGAAUGUCAGUGCUAGUUGGAUUCAGUGGUUUUGAUACUUAAAAUCACUGAAUAUCUUUCUUUAAUGUUACUGAUUUAUUCAUUCUGGGAAUCAGUGACUAGUUAUUUCCUCUUUUCCUUCAGUACUUGUGCGUAGACUGGUGCUUCUGCAGAUUGUUCAGACUCUCUUCGUAUCUUUGGAUUAUUUUCUGUCAAAAUAAAAGUCCAGUUUAACUGAUUGUUAGAAAAUGUUGCACCGUGCAUGGCAGGAUUCGUUCACAUGCAGUACAGUCAGUUUAAAGCAUAAGCAUAAGAACUGAUUGAAUUGAAAUCGUGUAAUAUAUCCAUGUCCGAAUGCCCAGUAUAACGGCAAAUGAAACGUACAUACCAGGGUGCUGCACUAAGCUGUAUAUUCCACGGGGCUGAGCAAGACUAUACACCACUGUGCUCUCAGCAUCACUAGGACGAGGAAAGACAGAUGGGAGUUGAAGAUUACAAUCAGCACUUGUGCUGCGUUUACAAGUGCAAUUUCACUAAAAUAGUUUGUACUACUGUAUGUAGCCUGCUUAAGCCGUGUCUAGAAAAGCAGACCAUACAAGACUUAGCACUUUUACCAAGAAGUGACUUACCAAGCAGUGAGUGGUCUAAUGCUCCCUGUGAAUACAAUUAUUUUUUUUGUUUUUUUAAAUAACCAACUUUAAUGGCACACAAUUUAUGAACACUGAGACUUCUAGUUGAGCAAAUAAUUUAAAUGAAUAAUUGAAUAAAUAUUAAUAAUAAUCUUCAACUUGAAGUUGUUAGAUAAUAUUUGAUGUUACCUGGUACUUCAGGUAUCGUGGCAUAUUCUGCCAUGUCACUGUACAAUUCAUUCCUGUAUGAUUCACGACCAGAAAAAAAAAAAAGAAAAAAAAGUUAGUUUUACAUUUAUUCA